rnacentral:rRNA from 1 species
UGAGGAAUAUUGGUCAAUGGGCGCGAGCCUGAACCAGCCAAGUAGCGUGAAGGAUGACUGCCCUACGGGUUGUAAACUUCUUUUAUAAAGGAAUAAAGUGAGGCACGUGUGCCUUUUUGUAUGUACUUUAUGAAUAAGGAUCGGCUAACUCCGUGCCAGCAGCCGCGGUAAUACGGAGGAUCCGAGCGUUCUCCGGAUUUAUUGGGUUUAAAGGGAGCGUAGAUGGAUGUUUAAGUCAGUUGUGAAAGUUUGCGGCUCAACCGUAAAAUUGCAGUUGAUACUGGAUAUCUUGAGUGCAGUUGAGGCAGGCGGAAUUCGUGGUGUAGCGGUGAAAUGCUUAGAUAUCACGAAGAACUCCGAUUGCGAAGGCAGCCUGCUAAGCUGCAACUGACAUUGAGGCUCGAAAGUGUGGGUAUCAAACAGG